rnacentral:rRNA from 1 species
AUGAUUAAAGGAGAAGAUUGUUCUUUUACCAAACAUAUGCAGAUCAAAUCACGUCUUAUAAUAAGAAGAAAUCUUUCUUGGUAUCAAUCCCCUUGCCCCUCAUUCUUUGAGAAUCAGAAGGAUCCUUUUCGAGUUUCCGUUUCUACAUUUGGAAUCUGGGCUCUUCUAUCUUCGACUUAUUUUUUUGGCUUUAUUCUUUAUUUAUUUCAUUUUUAUUUUUCCCUCUUCCUCUAUCCCUAUCCUCUAGGUACAGCGUUUGCAUCAAUAGGGAACCUUUUCCUCUGUAUGAAUCUACAUUAUUCCAAUUUCUUCCCGAAACUUCCCAAGAAAAAUCCUGAAUUGGAUCCAAAAUUGACGGGUUAA